rnacentral:misc_RNA from 1 species
AAGUCGUAACAAGGUUUCCGUAGGUGAACCUGCGGAAGGAUCAUUAUUGAAGGGGAAAAAAACUUCCCCAAAAAGGAUGUAGGCCAGCCUAAAUUUGGCUGGCACACACUGGCUAUGAAACCCUUGUCUAUAAGUACUCUUGUUUCCUCGGCAGGCUUGCCUGCCAAUGGGGACCCUAAUCAAUCUUUCAAUAUUGUUGUAACCGUAACCAAACAAAUAAUCAAAACUUUCAACAACGGAUCUCUUGGUUCUG